AUGCAGGUGCGGCCGGAGCCGAGCCGCCAGGAACCGAUGCAGGUGCGGCCGGAGCCGAGCCGCCAGGAACCGAUGCAGGUGCGGCCGGCGCCGCGACGGGCGCGACACCCUCCUGGAGGUCCGCCGGGACUGCGACGGGCGCGACCCCCUCCUGGAGGUCCGCCGGGACUGCGACGGGCGCGACCCCCUCCUGGAGGUCCGCCGGGACUGCGACGGGCGCGACCCCCUCCUGGAGGUCCGCCGGGACUGCGACGGGCGCGACCCCCUCCUGGAGGUCCGCCGGGACUGCGACGGGCGCGACCCCCCUCCUGGAGGUCCGCCGGGACUGCGACGGGCGCGACCCCCUCCUGGAGGUCCGCCGGGACUGCGACGGGCGCGACCUCCUCCUGGAGGUCCGCCGGGACUGCGACGGGCGCGACCCCCUCCUGGAGGUGCGCGGGGACUGCAGCUGGCGCGACCUCCUCCUGGAGGUGCGCGGGGACUCCUCCUGGCGCGACCUCCUCCUGGAGGUGCGCGGGGACUGCAGCUGGCGCGACCUCCUCCUGGAGGUGCGCGGGGACUGCAGUUGGCGCGACCUCCUCCUGGAGGUGCGCAGGGACUGCAGCUGGCGCCGCCUCCUCCUGGAGGCCGGCGGGCGCUGCGGCUCCGAGGGUGACAGGAACUGGAACGGCCACAACAUGGCCGACAGGGACAGGAACAGGGACUGGAACGGCCGCAACAUGGCCGACAGGGACUGGAACGGCCGCAACAUGGCCGACAGAGACUGGAACGGCCGCAACAUGGCCGACAGAGGCUGGAACGGCCGCAACAUGGCCGACAGAGGCUGGAACGGCCGCAACAUGGCCGACAGAGGCUGGAACGGCAUCUACUCUGCCGACAGGGACUGGAACGGCAUCUACUCUGCCGACAGGGACUGGAACGGCAUCUACUUUGCCGACAGGGACUGGAACGGCAUCUACUUGGCCGACAGGGACUGGAACGGCAUCUACUUGGCCGACAGGGACUGGAACGGCAUCUACUUGGCCGACAGGGACUGGAACGGCAUCUACUUGGCCGACAGGGACUGGAACGGCAUCUACUUGGCCGACAGGGACUGGAACGGCAUCUACUUGGCCGACAGGGACUGGAACGGCAUCUACUUGGCCGACAGGGACUGGAACGGCAUCUACUCUGGAGCUGGCAUGGCUACUUGCCGCCGCCGAGCUCGACGGAGCAGACGUCGGGCCUGAUCGGGUGUGCAUAGCACCUGUACGACAGGUGGUGCCCUCUGGUUGGGACACGACCUGCGCGUGA
rnacentral:lncRNA from 1 species